GACGAACGCUGGCGGCGUGCUUAACACAUGCAAGUCGAACGGGCCUGUCUUCUUUUUUGGGGGUGGGUUGAGUGGCGAACGGGUGAGUAUCACGUGAGUAACCUGCCCUUCGGUCCUGGAUAACCGCUUGAAAGGGCGGCUAAUACGGGGUGGUCCGGUUGGUCCGCAUGGGCUGGUCGGGAUAGAUUCACUGUUUUUGGUGUUUCGGCGGGGGAUGGGCCCGCGGCCUAUCAGCUUGUUGGUGGGGUGAUGGCCUACCAAGGCGGUGACGGGUAGCCGGCCUGGGAGGGUGGGCGGCCACACUGGGACUGAGAUACGGCCCAGACUCCUGCGGGAGGCAGCAGUGGGGGGUAUUGCACAAUGGGCGGAAGCCUGAUGCAGCGACGUCGCGUGAGGGAUGGAGGCCUUCGGGUUGUGAACCUCUGUUUCCGGUGGUGAAGGCCCUGUCCGUGUGGUGGGGUUGACGGUAGCCGGGGAUGAAGCGCCGGCUAACUACGUG
rnacentral:rRNA from 1 species